GAUGAAGAACGUAGCGAAAUGCGAUAAUUAAUGUGAAUUGCAGAAUUCCGUGAAUCAUCGAGUCUUUGAACGCACAUUGUGCCUCAUGGCAUUCCGUGAGGCAUGCCCAUCUCAGCGUUAGAAAAUAUUCUCAAAUUUUAGUUUUGUGCUAAAAUUUGGAUCAUGUCAAAGAAGCUAUUACUAUUAUUGUUAUCGCUCUUUGGAAAUUGAUAGGUCUUUGAGUUGCUACUCAUAGAACGUGAUGAAUCUUUCUUCAUUCUAUUGUAAUUCACUCUGGUAGUCCUAAAACUUGUAUGCCUGUAGCAUAUCUUGUAAUUUGACCUGAGAUUGGGUAGGGAGACCCGCUGAACUUAAGCAUAUCAAUAAGCGGAGGA
rnacentral:misc_RNA from 1 species